UACGUAGGUGGCGAGCGUUAUCCGGAAUUACUGGGUGUAAAGGGUGCGUAGGCGGGCUUUUAAGUCAGCGGUAAAAUCGAGGGGCUCAACCCCUUUAAGCCGUUGAAACUGGUGAUCUUGAGUGGGCGAGAAGUAUGCGGAAUGCGUGGUGUAGCGGUGAAAUGCAUAGAUAUCACGCAGAACUCCGAUUGCGAAGGCAGCAUACCGGCGCCCGACUGACGCUGAGGCACGAAAGCGUGGGGAUCGAACAGG
rnacentral:rRNA from 1 species